UGAGAAUACGUUGGAAGCAGAUAGCGGA
rnacentral:piRNA from 1 species